UACAGAGGGUGCGAGCGUUAAUCGGAAUUACUGGGCGUAAAGCGCACGUAGUCGGCUUUGCAAGUCGGUUGUGAAAUCCCCGGGCUCAACCUGGGAACUGCAUCCGAGACUGCAUUGCUAGAGUAUGGGAGAGGAAAGCGGAAUUUCUGGUGUAGCAGUGAAAUGCGUAGAUAUCGGGAGGAACACCAGUGGCGAAGGCGGCUCACUGGUCCGGUACUGACGCUGAGGUGCGAAAGCGUGGGGAGCAAACAGG
rnacentral:rRNA from 1 species